AAAUGAGAAAAGAAUCCUGUACUGGUCAGUAAGCAACAAACUCUUACCCUAGAAUCACCGUUUUAAGGAAGUUCAGUCAGUCAAAAUACGCUCAUCAUUCAAGAUGGUCUUCAAAGUCACAUUGCUCGUCUUUAUCAGCAUGGCCAUUAUAUUAUCGAACAAAGGAGCUGACGCUCAGGACGAUGCAAACCCUGAUUGUGUUGAUAGUAACCCAAACAUCUGCAAAGGAUAUAAAGCAUAUUGUAAUGCGCCUAUAUUUUCUGUAGACGCCCAUAAAAUGUGCCCGAAAACUUGCUGUGCCACCGGCUGCUGCUCAUAAGCUCCUUGAAGUGAUCUGUGAUGAGCUGUGGAAGUAUUUUAACACAGUAUAACUGACGUACCAAUUAUAUUCGUUAAAUUUGUUUAGUCACCAAAAAUUGAGUUUCUGUACGUCUGUAUAGUAGGCCUGAUGCCUUUUGUGUUUAUCAACGUUUUAAAUUAACUCAGAAUUGUUAAUACAUUGUCAAAAUUAUACAUUAUUGUCUGAAAAUACAAAAGAGUACAAAUGAAUCGAUGAAAAGUUUAGCGUUUAAUAAUUUAGGAUUUGUUAGCUUAAUAACAUAAAGGGUCUUUACACAUUUAGUGCAGUUGUUGAUACAAGGUUGUGUGCUUUUAAUAUAAUUCGUUGUCUUCUAAUUGGUGAAAUGCGCAGAAUGAUGGGUCAAGCUUAAAGUUUCAGUUUCCAUUUUGAACCUUAAAAGUUUCAGAACCAAAACUUUUUAUUAUUGAACUCACACUAAGACGUUUGGUAGUGUCUUAAUUGGUUUUCUGGGAAAAUUAUAAUGACCACAAUUAAAUAUUUUUGUAAGAUCAAAACUGUGAAAUUAUCAUGUAGGCCUAACCUCGAUAGUCGAUUUAUGAAAAACAAUUAAAUUUGAGUUAAGUUUCAAACAAUGAGACCAAAAGUGCUCGAGUUUCAUUAAAUAGUGUGUCAUAUA